rnacentral:lncRNA from 1 species
CGGCGGCGGUGAUGGACUUGGAGCAAUCCGACAGCGACUCGCUGGACGCCGCUCCGCUCCUGUGCAAAUCGGCCAGCGCCCAAAACCUGGCGGGGCAUCGGCAGCGACCCCCGCCCUUGCAGAAGUCCCACAGCGUUGUCAGCGGGGCGCGGGAAGUGGCGCUGCUCAGGGCCACCCGCGACCAGCGGCUCGGCAGCCGCCACCUCUCCGCGCCGGCCCCGGGGGUCCCCAGCGACCCCGCCUCACCCCAGAGCCCCAGAGCCGAGAGGGGCUCGCAGGAGGACGCGGCGCCGCUGGGCGAUGCCAAGGGACACAAACGCGUCACCUACGCGCCCAUCAAAAGCGUCAGCGUUGACAGCGCCCACCCACCCAGAAAAGUGAGGGUGACCGUGAAGAAAACGCCCCCCGCGCCCCCCGUCCGCUACCAGAGCCUGCAGCGCUCGGGGACGCUCGGGGACAGCCCGGAGCCACCGCCGGGCCCGCCGGUACAGGCGGGAGAGGCGGAGGGGACAGCAGGGCACGACCCGGAGCGCGCGUCCCCCCCGGCAGGGAAGGGCAGGCUGCUGACCCCCACGGCCAGCUCGGCACACGUCUGUCCCUGGGAGCUGGUCCAGGACGAGAUCCUGGGUAGGAAGCAAAAAGCGGCCGAGGCAGCAGAGUCGGGGACCCCCGGUGACACAGCGGCCACCACCGCCGGCCCCAAGCCGCCCCCCGCGAAAAGUUUCCGCAGCCUGGGACUCGCCAUCAAAGCCCUCAACCGCUCCAGAGGGAAGAGCGUCCUGAAAGGGAAAAGCGAGGGGAGCCUCAGGAAGAGGGGGAGCGGCAGGAGGGAGAAGCCCGGCCUGGCAGAGGCCUCGGCCGUGUCCCUCGGGGGGCUCAGCCCAAACCCCGCUGCCAAAAUCCCCGAAAGGAGCGGGCAGAGCCUCGAGGCCCCCGCCCUCCAGCAGAACAACAACGCCGCCACCGCCGGGGAAGCCGCGGACUGGGGGGACAGCGGGGCGGGAGGACAAUCGGACAGCCUGGCCGCGGGGACAGGCGAUGGGGACAAAGCUGCCCGAGGGAACGCGGGCACGGGUGGGCGUCUGGAGCCACCCAGCGCGGGCCACCAAGGAGCUGAAUGUCCCCCGGAGGUGGCACAGCCCCGGGAAGGGGACGAGGCUCCUGCAGCGCAUCGGGGGAAGGACGUUCCUGGGCUCCCAGCGGAGGAAGGGACACUUGAAGAGCUCGAGGGGACCAGCAGGUCCUUCCAGCCCCGGGACCACCCGGAGGAGGAGCAGCCGCCUGCGAAGCCCACCCCGAGCAGCGUGCGGG